rnacentral:lncRNA from 1 species
UCAACUUUCACUUUAAUACACUGCCCGAACUGGGCAGUUCGCGCAGGCAGGGACCGGUCUCUCCUUCAGGGACCGGUUCCCGAACGUCGUCCCAGCGCAGCCAGAGCUGCUGCGCGCAGUGCAACCGGUCUCCCCUUAUGGGACCGGUCUCUCGGGGACCGGUCUCUCAGGCAGGGACCGGUUCCCGAGAGCUAAUUUCUCAGGACUUAGCCGAUUUUUCGGCUGUCUCAUUUCAUACGCGUUCGGGGACCGGUCUCUCCCACUAGGGACCGGUCCC